ensembl:lncRNA
GUAGCUCUGUCCCAAAGGCUCACAGGAUAUCAUUCGAUGUGAGGCAGAGGAUGGGACGUGUAUUCUGAGUGGAGAAAAAGCAUCGAGGAAAACCAAGAUAAUGCAAGGGAAGAUCAAGAGCAGAGGUCUGAACAAGCAGAACAGUUUGGGAAGAGGAGUGUUUGAAACGGCCUUCUGCUCCUAGGACCACUGAGCUUCUUUGAGGUUUUGGAAGCCAAACAGAACUGAAUUUUGGAGCUCCCUUUAUCUUUGCAAUAAGCCAAAACAGAACCCUGGAUCUUAAUUAACAUUUCUGCAUUUAGAAUUAUUUUUGUGAACACAAUAGAGCUGAUUAUUACUGAGAGCCUCUUCAAAGAAGUUAAAUUAAUCUGAUAAAUCAAUGUGGCCAGUGCAGAUAAGUCUUGUGGAGCAUUCUCAAGCUGUACCAGGAUCUGUCAAAAAGAGUAAUGAAUAUCAGAUUUCCAAAUGUACACAUUUUGGGGGGAAGGAAUAAGAUAAAUGACAUGCAUUAACUUCAAUAACUUGUGUGCGGUAACGUGAAGAUGCAAAUAGGAAAAUUAAACUGGGUCAGCAGAUGCAAACUUGAAGACAAUAAUAAAGAAUGCUGAGAUUGUUCUGAAGGAAGAUAAGAUGGCAAAGAACGGGAAAUGAUGUAUGGGAGCAAUGGCAUGACAUUUGUGCUCCUUCAGAUGUAUCCAACUCAAUAAUAAUAAUAAUCCUGCUGUGAAUUAAAUUUCAUUCCCUGUCACAUCCAAGUAAGGAGCAGCACACCAAAGAUAUCUUGGUGGUAAAACUGAGGACAUCCAAAGGCUUCAGGCUGUGGCUACUGCAGAAGAGGAUGGCAAAAUGAGCCAGGGGCCAGCCCUAUGUUUCCAGCAAACAGUGGGGAGGACUCCAGGAAAUGUUCUUGCUGC